rfam:Pongo abelii chromosome 10.
UUGGCCACCUGGCACUGAGAACUGAAUUCCAUAGGCUGUGAGCUCUAGCAAAUGCCCUGUGGACUCAGUUCUGGUGCCCGGCAGUGCUAC